rnacentral:rRNA from 1 species
UACGUAGGGACCGAGCGUUGUCCGGAAUCAUUGGGCGUAAAGAGCGUGUAGGCGGCUAUUUAAGUCCUGCGUGAAAUCCUGCGGCUCAACCGCAGACGGUCGUGGGAAACUGGAUGGCUAGAGUGCGGGAGAGGAGAGUGGAAUUCCCGGUGUAGCGGUGAAAUGCGCAGAUAUCAGGAAGAACACCCGUGGCUAAGGCGGCUCUCUAGUACGGUACUGACGCUGAGACGCGAAAGCGUGGGGAGCGAACAGG